AAAAUGACAACGUGGAGGCAAUGAGACGAAACUCGUCGGUCCAUUAACAAUGAUGACAAUUUGUUUACGGCAACUCGUAUCACCUUUGAUUGUGUGAGGAGAGCUGCGAGAGAGAGAGGGGUGAGGAAUGGAGAGAGCGGAAGAGAAUGUGACCGUUCUGAACUCACCGCUGAUCCCAAGCCCAGAAGAAAUCCCAGAUGAAAAUGGAAAAGAAGUAAUUCUUGAGGAGCUGAGGAAGCAGUUGUGGUUGGCGGGGCCUUUGAUUAUGGUGUCUCUGUUGCAGUUCUGUCUGCAGCUUAUCUCAGUUAUGUUUGUGGGUCAUUUGGGAGAAUUGGCUCUCGCCGGUGCUUCAAUGGCCACCUCCUUUGCCUCUGUCACUGGUUUUAGCUUGUUGAUGGGCAUGGCAAGUGCUUUAGACACGUUGUGUGGCCAAUCCUAUGGAGCUAAGCAGUAUCACAUGCUCGGCAUACACAUGGUGAGAGCCAUAGUUGUUCUUUUAAUUGUCUGCAUACCCCUUGCUGUCAUCUGGGCAAAUACCACCCCCAUCCUAACAGCAUUAGGCCAAGAUCCUGCUAUAUCCAAAGAAGCUGGAAGUUAUGCUCGUUUUAUGAUUCCUAGCAUUUUUGGAUAUGGCCUGCUACAGUGCCAAGUCAAGUUCUUGCAAACACAGAAUGUUGUCGUCCCAAUGAUGAUAAGUUCUGGAAUCACCACUUUGCUGCACUUAUUUAUUUGCUGGAUUCUUGUGUUCAAUUCUGGACUUGGUAGCAAAGGGGCUGCAAUGGCGAAUUCUAUCUCUUACUGGAUAAAUGUUUUCCUGUUAGCUCUUUACAUCAAAUUUUCUUCUUCUUGUUCAAAAACGUGGCCUGGAUUUUCAAAAGAAGCACUACAUAACGUCCUUAAUUUUCUUAGACUUGCCAUCCCCUCAGCAGUCAUGGUCUGCUUGGAAGCAUGGUCUUUUGAAAUGAUGGUUCUACUUUCUGGUCUUCUUCCAAAUCCCGAGUUAGAAACCUCAGUUCUUUCUAUCUGCCUUAAUACAGCUGCGACAGUUUGGAUGAUCCCAUUUGGACUCAGUUGUGCUGUUAGCACACGAGUCUCAAACGAACUGGGGGCUGGGCAUCCACGAGCAGCACUGUUAGCAGUACGCGUGGUUUUAUUCAUGGCUAUCAGUGAGGGCAUAUUAGUAGGACUGAUUAUGUUACUAAUACGAAAUAUAUGGGGAUAUGCUUACAGCAAUGAGAUUGAAGUUUCUAAAUAUGUAGCAAGAAUGAUGCCGAUUCUUGCUGCAUCUAACUUCAUGGACGGGCUUCAGUGUGUUCUUUCAGGAACUAUUAGAGGAUGCGGGUGGCAAAAGAUUGGAGCUUUUAUAAAUCUUGGAUCGUAUUAUCUUGUGGGCAUUCCAACGGCUAUUUUGUUAGCUUUUGUUUUCCACAUAGGAGGAAGGGGUGUUACGUUGCCGUUCUUUUGUUCAGGGAGAUUCUAUAUCUGUCAGUAUCUUUACAUGGGGGUCUCUGGUCAGGAAUUCUGUGUGCGCUAGUGGUGCAAGUGGUGUGCCUUUUUGCCAUCAUGUUACGCACUAAUUGGGAGCACGAAGCAAGGAAGGCCAAAGACAGAGUAUGCGACACUUCAAUACCGGUGGAAUUAUUAUCAUGACUAUGUAUUACAACACAACUUGCACGAGAGGAUGUUGUAAUGGGAACGACAGCUAAAUUGCCAGUUUCCCCAGACAGAUUCUCUCUGGAAACUCUUCAUGUUUGUAGCUUUUCAUGCAAAAAAGUGGAUAGAAGGAACUCCGUGCAGCGUGACCAUGAAGUCUAUACAGCAUUCAGCCGCGAUGAAAUGCUCUAGUAAUUGGUCCCAUUCGAAUGAAGAGAAACACUUAGAUAUAUGAGGGGCACAGGCAGCAGUAUGGAAAGGAAAUGAAGUUUGACAUUGUCUUCAAAGUAUUGUUUUCAUUGAGAUUUUACCUUAUUGCAUUUCUAUUCUCCCUUCUUACCAAAGAUAGGAUGUCUUAGCACCAUUCUGUCCUUAGAAUUUCGCAGUUCAUACUUAUAAUGCUGCUCUGCAACACUCAGAAAUUGUAUCGUGUCGACCCUAUAUUUUAGGGUGAAAUGUCAUUUAAUUGUAUUAUUUCUUUCAUA